rnacentral:rRNA from 1 species
UACGUAGGUGGCGAGCGUUGUCCGGAAUUACUGGGUGUAAAGGGCGUGUAGGCGGGAAGGUAAGUCAGAUGUGAAAUACCGGGGCUCAACCCCGGGGCUGCAUUUGAAACUAUCUUUCUUGAGUGCAGGAGAGGAAAGUGGAAUUCCUAGUGUAGCGGUGAAAUGCGUAGAUAUUAGGAGGAACACCAGUGGCGAAGGCGACUUUCUGGACUGUAACUGACGCUGAGGCGCGAAAGCGUGGGGAGUGAACAGG